CUACGGGGGGCAGCAGUGGGGAAUAUUGCACAAUGGGCGCAAGCCUGAUGCAGCAACGCCGCGUGAAGGAUGAAGGCCUUCGGGUCGUAAACUUCUGUCCUUGGGGAAGAAACAAAUGAUGGUACCCAUGGAGGAAGCCCCGGCUAACUACGUGCCAGCAGCCGCGGUAAUACGUAGGGGGCAAGCGUUAUCCGGAAUUAUUGGGCGUAAAGAGUGCGUAGGUGGUUACCUAAGCGCAGGGUUUAAGGCAAUGGCUCAACUAUUGUUCGCCCUGUGAACUGGGCUACUUGAGUGCAGGAGAGGAAAGCGGAAUUCCUAGUGUAGCGGUGAAAUGCGUAGAUAUUAGGAGGAACACCAGUGGCGAAGGCGGCUUUCUGGACUGUUACUGACACUGAGGCACGAAAGCGUGGGGAGCAAACAGGAUUAGAUACCCGCGUAGUC
rnacentral:rRNA from 1 species